AAGCCAUCUGAAGAGAUCUGUGGAUUCUAAAAGGGGGAAGAAAUGAAGGCAAUGUCUGGGAGACAGCAGCUUUUCAUGUACUGCUCAGAAGUAUCCCAUGACCCAGAAGGUAUGGUAGAGGAAACAGAGGGCAUUUGCUGCUCACAUGAGCCUUUCUUCCAAUCAGGCCGUAUGCUUUCCUCCUUUCUUUUGCCUCCAAAGGGCAUGAUGAGAUAGGGUGGCAUCCUCACCCUUAGUCCACCUCUUCCAGUUGUGGGAUGUGGCCCAACUUCUACACUGUCACUGUGUCCUUCCAGCCCCUUCUCCUCCUCAGACUUAACAUCCUCCCCUGUCAGAACCUGAAGAGUGGCAUCUUUGUUGCUGUGAGAAAUUACUACAGGCAGUCAAACCCUGCUUCUCUGACUCCCCUCCCUCCUCCCUCUUAGAACCACAUAAGCAUCAUCUGCUGCCCACAGAGUAAUGACCCUUCAGCACCGUUUGUGGAGCCAAACUGAGAAGUGCGAGCUCUGCUCAAAGUGUGUCCACACGAGAGUGCAAGUGUGUGGAGGUGGUCCCCUCUCUUCCAAAAAUGCCCCUUUAGGGCAGUUCUUUAGCAUCUGUCUCUUCUGCAUGCUCUGCUGUCUACAGGAGGAAGGAGACAGGAGAGAAGAGAGCCAGGCAACCCUUGUGAAAGGGUGACAACCCACAAGUUGAGAACAACAGCAUUAGAUGCAAGCAAGCUGUACUUUUGUGUUCGGACUGGACACUGCAACACCUUUGGGUCGAAACCACCGUCCGCCAUCCGCAAGACAUUUUUGGUGGAGCACAAAGGCUGACAUGCUGCUCCAAUAGGAUCUUCAGCCAGUUGGAAGCAUGAUCAACUUGCUCCCUCCUCCAUCCUUAGACAGUUCUUUCUGGAUCCCUUAGAAGGAAACUUAGAAGACUGAGUUGCAUUCACACUGGUGAGGAACUCUGUCUGAGAGUGUUCUUUCGCGGGCUCACAUUCAGUCAAUAUCUACUCAGUCAGAAACACGGUGCUGGAGCCUGAGCUACAGCUCAGUGGGUCAGCUCAUGCUCAGCAGGCUCGAGGCUCUGGCUCCACCCUCAGCGUCUUCACUAUCUCCUAAGGAGCAUCAUCAGAUACACCCAAGUUUGUGAUUGCACUUUAUCCAGCUCCAGUUCCUAUGCCUAAACAUUGGUAAUAUGAGGCGGAAAGUUCUAGAAACACAUAGUUCAUAAGGUUGAUUUUUUUUUAUUUGUUUUUAUGCAUUUGGGUGUUUUGCCUGAGUGUAUGUCUGUGUACAACGUGCAUGUAUGAUGCCUGAGGAGGCCAUAAAACGGUGUCAGAUCCCACAGGUAGUUGGUUGUGGGCAGCAGCCAUCUGGGUGCUGAGAAUCAAGCCCGAGUCCUCCAGAAAAGCUGUCAGUGAUAUUAACCAGAGAGUCAUCUCUCCAGCUCCCAGUUCACAAGUUUUAAGUGUUUUUGUUUGGUUACUUGGUUGUUAUUGUUGUUGUUUCAAGACAGGGUUUCUCUGUGUAGCCCUGACAGUCCUGGAACUUGCUCUGUAGACCAGUCUGGCCUCAAACUCAGAGAUCUGCCUACCUUUGCUUUCUGAGUGCUGGGAUUAAAUGUUUGAGCCUUUAUAUUGUUUUUAUAUUAUAUUAUAAAUUCUAUUAAAUACACAGGGUUAUAAUUGCUCUGUUGACUACCAGUUGCUAAUCUAUAAUUUAUAAUAGUUAUCAUAAGAAUGCACAUGCAGGAAGAAACAGCAUGGGCACCAUUUCCUUUGCCCUCAUCUUCCUGUAGCUUUGCCUUGGAACAUGUGCCUCACAGAGAAGAGGGGCGGGCUGCAGAGACAGAAUUUCAAGCAACCUCCAUGGAUGUUUUUCUUUAAUGAUUUGGGUUGGAAGUUGGCUAAGGCAGCAUGUGUGUAUAGUCUCAACAUUUAGGUGGUGGAGGCAGGAGAAUCAGGAGAUCAAGGUCCUCCUCAGCUAACCAGAAAGUUGGAGACCGGUCUGAGCUACACAAGACUAUCUAAAAAUGAGUAAGUAAAUAAAAAAUCACUCUAGUUGGUCUUUAAUAAGAUC
rnacentral:lncRNA from 1 species